GGGGCUAUAGCGCAGCUGGUAGCGCAUCUGCUUUGCAAGCAGAGGGUCGCCGGUUCGAGUCCGGCUAGCUCCACCA
rnacentral:tRNA from 1 species